rnacentral:rRNA from 1 species
AUGGGCCUCGAGUCCCGGCCCGCCGCCCCCCGCGCGGCCGCGGCCGCGCCGCCCAGGCCGCAGAAGCAGAGGAAGGUGGAGGCGUCAGCGGGGGGAGGAGACAAUGAGCCGGCGCCGGUGGUCGUGAUGCUGCCGCCGAGCCGGCGCCCGCCCGCGCCCGGCUCGCCCACGCACGCGCCGCGGAGCCACCACAGCGCCGACCUGCCGGCGAGGAGCCGCCUCGUACACGCCGCCGCGUCGAGGCUGCCGGAGCCGGGCGCGCGCGAGAGCUCGAGGACCAGCGCCAGGCUGCAGGCCAUCGCGUACGCCUGCUCCUCGCCGCAGCACCGCGGUCACCCCGGCGCCCCGCAGCAGAGCUGGGGCACGCCAGGCUGCAGACCAGACGAACUAUUCCGACUCAUCGGCUCCUCUCAAUAA